ACUUCAAUCUUGAAAAUGACCUAGAAUGGAAUUGAUAAUUCUGAUUCUUUUAUUCCAUUCCAGAAUUCACACAGUAUUAUUCAUCUCAAGGGACAAGAAUGCUAAUGCCACUUCCCUUCACACGAACAGAAAAGAAUACAUUACAGAGACUGGUUAAACAAGAGAAGUUCAGGACAUAUUGAUGUUGGAUGGGCAAAAUGGAAAUAUGUUAAGAGACGCAUAAAUAGAAGUAGGAAAUAAAGG
rnacentral:lncRNA from 1 species